rnacentral:rRNA from 1 species
GAUGAACGCUAGCGGCAGGCCUAACACAUGCAAGUCGAGGGGCAGCACAGAAACAGCAAUGUUUUGGUGGCGACCGGCGGACGGGUGCGUAACGCGUAUGCAACCUACCUUUAACAGGGGGAUAACGGAGAGAAAUUUCCACUAAUACCCCAUAACAUCGAUCAAGGCAUCCUGAUUGGUUGAAAACUCCGGUGGUUAAAGAUGGGCAUGCGUUGUAUUAGGUAGUUUGUGAGGUAAUGGCUCAACAAGCCUACGAUACCUAGGGGGACUGAGAUGUUAGCCCCCCACACUGGUACUGAGACACGGACCAGACUCCUACGGGAGGCAGCAGUGAGGAAUAUUGGUCAAUGGGGGCAACCCUGAACCAGCCAUGCCGCGUGCAGGAAGACGGCUCUAUGAGUUGUAAACUGCUUUUAAACAGGGAUAAAGCACAGUAUGUAUACUGUGUUGAAGGUACUGUAAGAAUAAGGAUCGGCUAACUCCGUGCCAGCAGCCGCCGUAA